UGCGUAGGUGGCUCAAUCAGUCAGAGGUGAAAUCUUGCGGCUUAACCGUAAAAUUGCCUUUGAUACCGUUGGGCUUGAAUUAGGUUGAGGUUGGCGGAAUGUGGCAUGUAGCGGUGAAAUGCAUAGAUAUGCCAUAGAACACCAAUUGCGAAGGCAGCUGACUAGACCUUAAUUGACACUGAGGCACGAAAGCGUGGGGAGCGAACAGGAUUAGAUACCCUGGUAGUCC
rnacentral:rRNA from 1 species